rnacentral:tRNA from 1 species
AAGGGUGUGGCUCAAGUGGUAGAGCGCAUGCUUAGCAUGCGUGAGGCCCUGGGUUCAAUACCCAGUACCUCUC